UAGCGAGGAAAAGAAACUAACAAGGAUUCCCCUAGUAACUGCGAGUGAAGCGGGAAGAGCUCAAAUUUGAAAUCUGACAGUUAUCUUUUGCUGUCCGAGUUGUAAUCUGGAGAAGUGUUACCCGUGCUGGACCAUGUACAAGUCUCCUGGAAUGGAGCAUCAUAGAGGGUGAGAAUCCUGUCUUUGACAUGGACUGCCAGUGCUUUUGUGGUGCACUCUCAAAGAGUCGAGUUGUUUGGGAAUGCAGCUCAAAAUUGGUGGUAAAUGCCAUCUAAAGCUAAAUAUUGGCGAGAGACCGAUAGCGAACAAGUACCGUGAGGGAAAGAUGAAAAGAACUUUGGAAAGAGAGUUAAACAGUACGUGAAAUUGCUGAAAGGGAAACGCUUGAAGUCAGUCGCAUUGGUUGGAAAUCAGCCUUGCUUUUGCUUGAUGUACUUUCCAUCUAAUGGGUCAGCAUCAAUUUUGAUUGCUGGAUAAAGGCUUGGGGAAUGUGGCAUCUCAGGAUGUGUUAUAGCCCUUUGUUGUAUACAGCAGUUGGGAUUGAGGAACUCAGCAUGCCGCAAGGCCUGGUCUUAUGACCAUGUUCAUGCUUAGGAUGCUGGCAUAAUGGCUUUAAUCGACCCGUCUUGAAACACGGACCAAGGAGUCUAACAUGCAUGCGAGUGUUUGGGUGGAAAACCCAUGCGCGUAAUGAAAGUGAAAGUUGAGAUCCCUGUCGUGGGGAGCAUUGACACCCAGACCAGACCUUUUGUGACGGAUCUGUGGUAGAGCAUGUAUGUUGGGACCCGAAAGAUGGUGAACUAUGCCUGAAUAGGGUGAAGCCAGAGGAAACUCUGGUGGAGGCUCGUAGCGAUUCUGACGUGCAAAUCGAUCGUCAAAUUUGGGUAUAGGGGCGAAAGACUAAUCGAAC
rnacentral:rRNA from 1 species